GACGAACGCUGGCGGCAUGCCUAAUACAUGCAAGUCGAGCGAACAGAUGAAGUGCUUGCACUUCUGACGUUAGCGGCGAACGGGUGAGUAACACGUAAGGAAUCUACCUAUAAGCGGGGGAUAACAUUCGGAAACGGGUGCUAAUACCGCAUAAUAUCUUCUUCCGCAUGGAAGAAGAUUGAAAGACGGCUCUGCUGUCACUUAUAGAUGACCUUGCGGUGCAUUAGUUAGUUGGUGGGGUAAUGGCCUACCAAGACGAUGAUGCAUAGCCGACCUGAGAGGGUGAUCGGCCACAUUGGGGCUGAGACACGGCCCAAACUCCUACGGGAGGCAGCAGUAGGGAAUCUUCCGCAAUGGGCGAAAGCCUGACGGAACAAUGCCGCGUGAGUGAAGAAGGCCUUCGGGUCGUAAAACUCUGUUAUAAGAGAAGAACAAAUUGUAGAGUAACUGCUACAGUCUUGACGGUAUCUUAUCAGAAAGCCACGGCUAACUACGUGCCAGCCGCCGCGGUAA
rnacentral:rRNA from 1 species